GCGGAGGCGGGCCCGGGGAAGGCGGAGGCGGGCGUGCUGCGCUGUGGCCGCGAGGUGGGGCUGUAGGUAAAGCAGCGCCACCGAGGACAUCUCUAUUAAGUCUUACCUAAUGAUCCUAAAUCACGCUAAAAACGUGGAUAUUGAUCCCCAUUCGCAGCUAGAAAUGACAGAAUUAUUGAAUCGUAGACUGGUUUGGGUUGGAAGGGACCUUAAAGAUCAGCUUAUUCCAACUACCUUGUUGGGCAGGGCUGCCCUCCACUAGACCUGGUAAGUAAAUUUGUAAGUCAAAAUGGUUACAGUGGCCACAGCUGAAUAGUUACUGUUUCUUCAGCAGUGGUGCUGAAUAUUGCUUGGUUUUCUAGAAGAAAUGUGUGUUUGAACUAUUCUUUAGUUGCAGUUUUGGCAUGGAAGGCACUGAACUGCAUUACUGAGCUGUCGGACGCACAGGAUCAGUUCAGGGAUACCAGAGUUUUAAAUUCUGGAUCUCUCUAAUGGGAUCAAUGGUGAUGUCUCAUACCCUGUCAAGUGGCAUGGCUUUGUUUAAGGAGCCAUGUUACAAAUCAAACAUAUGGCCCUACCACCAUCCAAAUCACACAGAGAGCCUUACCACCAUGCCUGCCCUGCCUUGCUGAUCUCUUCUUUCAGCUGUCAGUGGACAAAAGAUUGUUUAAAGCCAGCUGGAUGGAGCUCUGAACAACCUGGUUUAGUGAAAGGUGUCCCUGCCAUGGUCAGGGGCAUUGUAACGACAUUAUCUUUAAGGUCCCUUCCAACUCAAACCAUUCUAUGAUUCUAUGAAUUAAUUUAACUGCUUUCAAUUCAGCUUAAAUGCACAUUACUUGCCUUAACCAGGGUAGAUCUUUCUGGCAGCUAAUAACACUUUCCAAAACAACACUGGAAACAGAGGCAGUUAAGAAUCAGUCUUAAGAUGAACCCUUGCUUCAGUGUUAAACUCACAGAGAUGAAUCCUGUAUCACUACGGCUCAUGACUGGAGUCCCAGAAGGGAAAGAAAUCAACUCUGAAGUGGAGCUCACUGUGCUCAGCUAUAGAUGGUGACAGGAGAGAGAGGGAAACAGCCAAAUAAUAGCUGGCAUUUCAUUUUAAUUUCUCCUCUGUGAGGACACUCUUCAUGCACUGAGCCUUCUAGGGUCUGGACACCAGUUUUGCAACCAAGGAAUCCAGUUCUGGAAAACGUUUAUGUCUAGCAAAGGCAGGAGACUCCGAGGCUCUCAACAGCAGCCAAAGGUUGCAGCAUGGGAAUCAGACUGAGGAAGGCAGCCAGCUCCUCCAACUGGAAGCUUUCCCUAAUAAACCAUUGCUUUUCUGAUCAGAGUGUUAAAAAACAGAAAUCUUUUGGUGAAGUUGAAUAAGUACAUACUCAUCUUUGCUUCAACCUACACAAAUUAGAACUACACCUGUGCAUGGCUUACUUAUUUAAUGAGAAUCCUGUUGAAUUGCACAGAAGCUGUACAGCAGUCAGCUCCAUAGGAGUGCACGAGUUAACACAGACACAGGGCCUUGUCCUGCCAGAUGUGGCACCAGCUUCCCUUUGGCACUGCUUACUCAAUGCUUUGGUGUUUGCUGCCAGGAAUGUGUCUACUCCUACAAAGUGCUGAGACCUUCCUAAAAUGUUUUCAGGGUGAAGAGUGAACCUUUCAGAGCCUGUGUGUUGUUACAGAGCGUUGAUCACUUAAACUUCAGAUAACAGAUAAAGGAAAUCUCUGUCAGGCUUCCUGGCUUUAAGCGACCUCUGUUAGCUCUCCCAGAAGUGUGAUUGCGUGACCCCUCAAAAGAUGAAGCACGUAUAAACGUUUGGCUGUGAUGCUCUUUGUGAUUUUGCUGUAAACAGCAGUAUUUGUGGCCACAGCUUACCUGGAAUAUGAUAGGGAAAAUGUGAAUUGGUUUUGAAAAAUAAUGGACAAAAUUGUUCUUCAGUGAUGUCAUAUAGGGCUUGGCUGAACUAAAAGUGAAGAAUUACUCCCCAGCCCUCCACAAUUUUUUGCUAACUCUGUUUAGGAUCUGGAAAUCAAGUUGGAUUGUAAUAGGUUCCAGAACUAGUACUAGCUUUGGUGAACAAACCCAGUUACAUCUAGAUGUCAAAAUGGUUGGUAAGUGACCAGCACAGUUCUCUUCUCCUUGUUAACAAUUACACUUGCACAAAACCACAUUUUCUCUUCAUUUAAAUCUGUGCACCAAAAACCCUGUUAUUAAGUGCUCUUUUCCUAUUGAGAUUUAUCAUGGAAGAGACAAUUUAUAACACUACAUCUAUCAAAGACAGCACAUCAUCGACUCUUAUGUUGGUUAUUUGCAAUUCAUUGGCAUGGUCAUAUCUGUGGCCACACAUCUAAAACAUAUCCUUUGAUUCCCACACUUUGUAAGGAAAGCAAUUAUGCAUGGCUGUUGUUCAUCAUUUGCGGUAUGUGUAAAAUGCACCAUAAAUUAGUUCUGAAGUGAAAGAGUGACUUGAAUCAUAAGCUUUAUUUUUAUUAAGCUAUACUUCUUUCAAACCUAAGCAUCAAAUACUGCAUCUUCAUUUCAGUAAAAAACCACCAUCUCCUGCAUCCUCAAUUGUAUGUGCUGCAUCGUGCUUCAAAUUGCAGACAUAUUUAUUAAGAAUUAUAUGCACUUGUUAAUUUUAGCUUGAAGACAUGUAUGCUGAUAUAUUAUUCUGCAAAGAAUUAGCUGGCUUGCUGUUACUUCUUAUACAUUAUGCAGAAGUGAUGGAUGUUCUUAGCAUAACUCAGCAAGUAGGUGUAGGUAUUACUGUGAAUGACCAUCUCAGUCAGAAAAUUGUGUAGGGCAAAACAAUUUUGCACAAAACUCAAAAUUGCCCAUUGGAAAAGUAAAAUAGCAGCCUCAGCAAUUAUUAUACUCUAACAUAUUUGCUGUCAUUACAUAGUCCCAGUAGCCUGUUGGAAUAAUGCAUAAUUUUCUUAAAACAUGUUUAUAAGAAAAACACACUUCAUUUUAAUUCACUCAGAAUUUCUUGAAAUGUGACCAUGUUUAUUUUCCCCACUGCUCAUCCAAUAUUUCUUUUUAUUUACCCAACAAUUAUCAUCUCCCCAGUAUCAAUCACACCUCACCAAUAUCCUGCUGUCACAAAAGAUCUUGAGCUGUAGCCGUGUCUUGGACAUGCUCUCUGUGACAUGCAGGUUGGGAUUUGUCUAAUGACAGCACGUCUCCGAUAGCUCACUCCUAAAUAGCUGAGGCUGUGUUUUAUCCUGAUGUGCAACAUCUGUGUGCUGCACAGCCAUGUGCAAUUGGCAGCUCUUGCUUUGCAUUGAAUAAAGAGCAUUUAUGGCAAUGUCAGUACUUAGGGGAAAGCUUGACUCACUGGGAUUAUAUCCAGUGUUGUAGACAAAUACUCCUCUUGCACCUUCUAGGUGGCAUUGCUCCCACCACUGGGACACUGCAGUGGGAACUCAUGAGCUGCAGGGUUUGGGUAACCAGCACUGUUUGUCACACUUUCAGCUGACUGCUGUAGAUUGUAUUGAAUUUCAAGCUGCAAAUGAGAGGAAAUCCUAUAGCAGUCUUGUGGACUCUUUCAGUAUUCAGGAAUAUUGAGUGUUUUACCUUUGAAGUGGAAUAUGUUUAUUCUGUGAGGUACAAACCAAGCUUGUUCUCAUAUAACAAGUCCCUCCUUCACCUCCCAAAGCAGCACUGCACUGAGCUAAGACUAAUCCAGCUCUGCUAGAUGCUUUUUUAAUUGCUUGCAUGGAUAUGGCAAUAUUCCCUCAGCAACUGGUCUUGCUGGACUAUUUCUCUGCUCUGUGACAUUUGUUUAGCAUUUUAUAUGCUUUUUAAAAAAUAAUCCCAUGUAGAAUAGAAGGUAGAUUAUUUGAGAAAUAGAUAUCAAUGUUUAUAUAACUGGCUUGGUACACUUUUAUUAAUUUUGCACAGAGUACUGAAACUGGUUGAAUUACAGAAGAGCAGGGAAAUAGUAGUUUUUAACAUGUCAUUUUAUGAAACAGUGCUGCAAUAUGCACUGUUUGUCAUGCUUUAUAUUUCCAAUAUGUGUUUUCAUUGUAUAGUCUGCUGUAGCUCUGCAGCCUCUGGCCUGGACACGUUAUUGCCCAUACGCUGAGUUGCAGACCUGUAGGGAUAUUAAAAGAAGUGGCAGAGAAUAUUUUGCUCAGCAGAAAAUACUUUGGCUUUUUGAUAGAUGUAGCAGAUAUGCAAAUUUUUACGACAAACAACCUAUUUUCCUAGAAGUACAAAUGCUUACAUUAAUGCCAGCAGGGAGAUUUUCAAUAAAAUGAAAGAGAAUUCUGACCUCUGAAGCUUCCAGCACAUGGCUUAAUGGAGAUCCUUGUUGCUUGUUGCCUUGGCCCCCCUCUUUGUGAUCUUGGAGGAACUUGGGGAGCAUGAAUUGGGUAGUUCCAAGUUUGUGUCUGGGUCACAGAAAUCAGAGGAGACUGUAAUCCAGACACUGCUGUUUUCAGUUAUGUGGAAAGGAGUCGAGGUAAACUGCUGCUCUCAAUGAUGUGCCGAAGCACAGGAAAGUCCCAGCCUUUCAUGCCAAAGAAGGUGAAAGGGAGUUGUUUAUUAUAAUCCAUUUCCUCUUCAACUUCCACUCUAGGGCUUAAAAGCCUCUGCAAGUAUUCAGUGAAGGAAAGUGAUCUCCACUCCUGCCUUCUAAUCCUUGGGAAUGUCUCUCCCCACCUGAGCUGCCUGGCCUUCUUUUUCAGAGACUUCUCUGAGGUCACCAUAUGGUUUCUCUCUGUGUUCUUAACUCUUACUCUUUUGAGAUUUGAAGCAAUUAAUAACGGCAUUGUCUUCAAGGUUUGGGAUCUCUCAGAGGUGAAUCCACUGAGACAGGAAUCAUGCCAAGCUGUUUCAGCUCACUGAUCCUGUUUUUGUGGUAAUGAAGGUUUUUGUUUAUGCUGUUUGAUUUACUCAGUCAUUAUGGCAGAACACCCUCACAUGCAGUCUUUACAAGCUCUACAGAUCUUGAUUUGUAUAUUGUCUUCUUUCCAAGGGUUUGAAAUACCAAGCACCACAGUCCUGCACAGAGUGUGCAUUAAUGGACAGGUGUCACAUCAGACAUCUGUGCAGCUUUUUACUUUGGGAGGCAGAGUCUGGGGCCAGAGGAACUAUGCAUUCACAGUGUGGACACCAUGUCAGAGAAGAAGGAACAGGCAGACAGAUCUGCUGAAACCAGGAUGGUGCCCAUUUGCAUUUCUGCAGUCAGUUCGAAAAUUGGUGGGUACCCAAGUAAAUAAACUUUUCUUUUGUUUCUGCUAGUUCCUCAGUGGUGACUUGGGUGAAGUGGUAUGGCCACACGUUCAGAAAUGAGAGAAAUAGGGAUAGUGGCACAGCCCUAUCAUGACAGUACUUAACAUAUUCUUAUAUUUCCUGUCAUCAGUUCAAUGCUGCUAAAGCCAUUUUGCUAAACAUUUCAGAGGAUAUUUUUAUGAACAGUUUAAGCCAGUCUAAGACCAUAAUAAUAUUAGCUGGUCUUCCCUCUUGCUCACCACUUUUCUGCUCUGCCCAGUGCUAACAUUCACAAGGUCAGUGGGGAGCUGAAUCAGAUCCCCGGGGUGGUAGCUGACUUUUGGGUUUUUUGCAGAGUUGGUUUUCAACCAGGUGAUCAGGCUGAGCAUACUCAUUGCAUGUCUUCCUGGUUUUAAGCUUAGCACCAAGGGGAGGACACGGCCAUGGGCAAGAGCAGAGUUGGCCCAUUCAGGUUCUGGUUUCAGAUUAGUUUGCAACAUUUGUGAGACUGCACCAUGGGCCAUGCAAGUCGAUAAUUGUAGCACUCUACUGCUGGUUCAGUGCCAAGGCUGGAGUGUUCUGUGAACCACCCAGCUAGGAGUAUUGUAUUGCCACUUGUCUGUCUUCUGCAGAUGUAGAACCUGAGAAAGAAGGUGAAAACUCCAUUCACACACUUUCAUUUGCUGACAUGGGAGGAAAGCUUUAAAAUUCCUACUUAGUUACUUAAAAUGCCUACUUACUUACUGGUAUAAGCAGGAUAUAUAAUUAGGACUUUGGUGUGAGACAACUGAACUUAAAUACAAGUACAAGAACUCACAUUGUCAUGGGACACCAUUGAGACCUUAUUUGACAUACAUUUAAAAUAUUCUUCAAAGAGUUUUUUUUUAAGGAAAAGGGUUUAACAAAAUUGCUGCUUUGCUGAAAGGCAGCACAACUGGAUCAAAUUAAAUAAAACCUGAAUUUUAAAAGCAUCUUGUGAUUUGAGAUACUGCAGAGAGUCUCUUUAAAAGGUAUCUGAGACUAAGCAUCCAUCAACUGAGGAAAUCCCUAGCACUAGGGGCUUUAGAAAAAUCUACUCUUUCAUAUUUGAACUAUUACUCUAUACAGCUGGAAAUGUAAUGUAAACAGGGCCUAAGCAACUUGGCCAAAGUAAUUUAGGAAAUCAGAACUGCUGACUGCUAGUACUAGCUCAGGUUUCUAGCCCCAUGCCCAGAAUGCUAACAUUUGGCUUUAUUGUUUUGUUUUUCCAUGAUUCUCUGCUGUGAGGUGCAGUGGGGGAAGAGUAGAUCAGUGAUAACUGUUAAGAUAACAUCUCUGCCCUCUUUCUUAGGAAGGACCUGUUUUCUUGCUGAAGCUUAGGGAGACAAGUAUAGAUUACAUGAUAACAUAUUUGUAUGUGAAAAGUCAUUUUUGGCUCUGUCUUACUUUAAAAACCAUGCACGUGGGAGGGUAAGGAGGGCGUGAAUAGCCUCAUUUCUUGAUGGAGGAGUGACACAGAUGCAGCAGGUUGGAUGUCAGAAUGGCUCUGUUAUUAGUGGUGUGUUACUGCAACAUCUCCAUGCCACAGGCACAGGGCAGCACCUCAUUCUGUCAGCACUCUGCAGACACUGAGGGAGAUGCCAGUCAUUGACCUGAAGAUCAGUCCUUCUCUUGGAUUCUGAGAACAAGACAGCUGGAUGCAGGAAGACAGGGCAGUGCAAGGUGGCAAUUAUUGGUGAGCAAAAUAAGCAGUUCUCAUGGCUGCAACCUCCCUGGCAGCAAAGAAAAUAUAGAAAGAGAAUUGAAAUUUGAAUUUGAGAGAGACACAGUGUGGCUUUGUGAAUACUUAGGGAAGAGCUCUGUCUGGAUGAAACAAGCAAGAAAAAGGGAUAGAUAACUUUUCAGAUAAAACAGGGUUUUUAUUGUUUUGUUUUGUUUUGUUUUAAUUUGGUUGCCUCUCAAAGGAGUUGUUUCAGAACCCUGACUGCAAGUCUUGUGGGGUUAACAUUAACAUUUUAGUUUGGACCAGGAGUGAACUUUGAAGCAAAUCUUGUGAUUGUCCCCACUUAGUGCACUUUGGUUUACACUGCAGACUGGUCACAGAGCACUGGUCACUGAAUCCUUCCUGAGAGAAACUAAAUCACAAAUAUGUUCCAUCUGCCAGUGAGGGGGUUAGAUGUGCAGAACCAGACAAAAGAAAAUCUAAAAUUGUUAACACCCCCAUAAAAUAUAUUUAGCACGGAGUCAAGGUCCUCAAAAACAAUUGUUUUACUCUACAGAUCCACUUUUAUUCAUGGUACUAUUUGCUAGUGUUAGACAUAAAGUACCUUGUUUCUUUGAUAUUUUUUGUUGAAAGGAAUAUAGAUUUUUUUGUAGACUUUCAAAUCCUCUUUGCUUAUAUUUCUUAAACAUGUUGGUGUCCAAUCAUCUGUAAAGCCUCAGUGGCAUUUGCUUAGGUAGCAUUAUGUGCUCUGUUUAGUAUGUGCAGUGAAAUUGUACCAAUUUCAGAACAAAGUUUCUAGAUUCACAGUAAGCAUCUUGUUAGCUAAAAUGAUGUACUAAAGGUAAAUCUCCAAUGCCUACUCAGCAUUUUGGCAGUGGCACAUAUGGAAACACACAGUUUAAGAUAGUGAAGGUCAGAAAUUAUGUCUCAGGGGAUUUUGACUUGAAAUGUGAGAGUUUUAAAAAAUAUGUUACAGGUUUUAACAGAACAUUUGGAAACACUUUUCCCUCUUUCCCAUGUGUGGCCAUGGAGUCAUUCAUCAGUCUCUUCUCUCCACUUACUUGGCUCAGCAGUGGAAAUAUCCAGGGGCAGUAUACUGUUGAUCUUGUAUGUGUUUUAUUAAGGCCUAGCAUGCUUUCAGAUCCCACAGAAGAGUUCAGAAGAGAAAUAGUCUGGUAACAUGUGGAACACAAAAAUUGAAGUGGGCUGAAAUGUGGAAACACUCCCCAGUCUCCAUACACAGAGAAAGGGAAGGGAAGAAUUUACCACAGGUUGUUAAGGGGUAAUGUAGCACAUUCUCACAAUCAACCACAGGGAAAAGGAGGGCCCCAGGGAAGUGAAAGCUGGUUCUUCCCUCAGACUUUUCCUUGGACUGGUACAGCUACCCACAGCCUCUCCUGUAGUGAGGAAUUUGUGUCUCUUAAGGCUUAAGUAUGUAGGAGAUGGUGGUCAGAGAGUGUGGACACAGAAGAAUCCCAGUUUCAUUGGGACUGAACUGCUACAAGAAUUAAGGAUAAUAAAUUCCACUCCCUUUUCAGCACAAAUCCCAGGCACAUUUAUUUAACAAAGCUUUUGUAACACAAUACAAAAAAGUAGCAACAUGGGCAUUUAGUAGCAAGGGAAAAAAAAGUAAUGCCAAAAUUGAAAGCACAGAACCCACCUCCUGAGAAGGGAUAAAAGAAUACUAAACUCCAUGUUACAAGAGUCAGGUAACACUUGUAAUUCAUUCUUAAGACUCAAAAGUGUCCCAUGAAAACAAUAAACCUAUUUUAAUAUAAUAGAAUUAUUGAAAUACAUUGUAUUUAAGUAGCAUUUUUUCUAAGUAACUGAUAAUGGUAUCUAUGUGUUGUUCACAUGACAAUGAAAAAUCAGGUCUGUGUAAAGAUCUGUUCUGAGUGGGGCAGGACAGCGUGUAAUAAUAUGCCAUGAUGUCUGGGUUUUUUUCAGACAUCAUCUUGCCCCUUGUUUUCCUGGGAUAACAGCAGCUUACAGGAAGCCUGAAGAAGUGCCAAAGUAGCUACUGUCUCAGAGAAAAGUGAGAAAUCAGGCAUCAUCUGUUAUUAUGGGACAACAUUUUUGCUGAAGAACCUUAUUUUAUCCUCCAUAAAUAUUCAGUAAUGCUGCCUGUUCUGUUUGCUUCGUCAUUUCACAUAUCUUUGUGACCAUGGUCUGUCUCAGUACUGAGAUCACAGGGAGGGGAAUGGCUCUUCCACUGUGCUGCAGCUUUGCUGCUUUGCUCUGUUGUUUCUUCCAGUGCUGUUGUGGAUUUCCACUCAGACCAAUUCCAGUAUUUCUGUUACCUAGCUUUAUAUACUGUAAUGACAAAAAAAGCUUUUCCACCUUUUGCUGUAAAGGAACUUGCAAUACAUCUGAGCAUACUUGGCUGGGGAUCCAAGGCUAUGGUCCCAGAAAACUUUGAGCUGCGUGCCAGAUUUGCUCUCAAGUGCAUUACCUCAAGGGACAUCAUUUGAGUGUAACUAAUUAUCACUCUGCAGUGAAGUCAACUGAACAUCUUUUUACAUGCCUGGAUACCUGCCUUUGACCCGAGGCUACUGCUCCUGCUUUCUAACCAGUAUUCCUCCUAAUAUCCCAAAGAAAAAGGUGAGUGAAUGUCUCACAGCUUAUAUGAAAAUACAAAACUUAUAUGAAGAAAUUAUACUUGUUAUUGUCAAAACUGAAACUCCCCCUUCCCCCAAACAAAGCAUUCAAACUCAGUUCUUUCAGCAGGUCACUCAGGGUAUGAAAAGGUGCUGCAUGUGGGAGAAGAAUCAGGUCCAUUUUAAUGAUGACUAAUGUAAACCUUGCAAAUAUAUAUUUCAAGCUGUUUCUUCUUGCUCCAUAUAUUCAGGCAUGCAGAUGUGCUGUGUCAGAUCAGCUGCAGAGUAAAAUGGAACUUUUCAUAUAUUUUCCCAAGUUCUCCAUUUUUAGUGCACCUCAAGAAAUUUUUGUAAAGACCUUUUAAAAUGUAUACUUCAUUAUUUUUUCCUAAGAUUAGGCACACUAGGGUUUGACACUUUUUCAGUUAUUACAGGUUAUUGACCAUUUCAAACUGACAUUCAUUGUCUCUGAAAAUAAAGAGCAUUCAGUUCAAAUUGCAAUAAAUUUUAGUCACAAGACAGGAAUUUCCAAUAUAAGAGAUUUACCUCUGAAAGAUAACCUGAUGGAAAAUGCUUUGUCAUGUGGAAUAUGGGAUUUGUUAUCCUGGCUUGAAUCAGUCUAGUGGAGUUCUGUCUCAACAAAUGCAUUAGCCAAGUAGUGAGGACUGUGGAGCCAAAGGGAGUAGUUUUUCUUUUAUUAUUCUUAGAAAGGUUUGGGUUAUUUGAUUAGAUUUAUUUAAGUGGCUUGCAAGCAAUUAGUAGUCACUAAAAUUACACAGCACUUAAAAAAUGUUUGUGCAGUAACUAACUUGGUGGUCAGCUGCAGAGUUUAACUCUGCAUUUAUUCCCUUUGGUUUUGCAAAAUUGUAGCUUAGGUCUUGGAAACACAUUCAGUGAAGAACUAGCUGCAACACUAUAAAUUGUUAUUGACCAACUCGUGUUGUUCUCCUACCAGAGGUGAACACAACCACAUUUUCAAUGUCCUCCCUUUUGGAAUCAGUAGAGCCAAAUAGUCCUUCAGUCACUUUACUGUGAAAUCUAGUAGUUUAGUAACAGAAACCAAAUUACUGUGAGAGGCAGUUGAUCCUGAGCUGCUAGAUUUCAUGUGGUAUUGGCUUAGAAUCACAUAAAUGUUACUUGUAAGAGCUUUGGAAAAUGUAACCGGGUCUGGGCAGUGAGGAAAGUAAGGAUUGGCAGCAUCUUAAAUCACUGCAACUGUUUCUGAAAUGAAAAACCACACAAGCCUUGGAAUUCUAAUCUGCCAUCACAGUAAUUUCUGUGCCACAGCUUUUUGUCAUCCUUUACAAACCCCUUGGAAAUGGUGAUAAGAGUGUUCAGAAUAGAGAUGAUGCUCACUUACAUCCAUUCCAGAAGUAUGGCCAUUAGUCACUCAGGAGAUAGUUUACUGAAAAGUUUCUCUUUUCCACCAUAUGAAAAAGGAGAUACUAUUUGAUUUUUGCCUUGAAAUGCAGCUUUCAAAAUACUGAAUUAGAAAGUCUGCAUGAAGAAUGAAAAGCUAGAAGUUCGCUGAUUCUAAAAUUUAACAGGUGUUAUGUUUUUGUCCCAUAAAUUGUCAGUUGUCCUCAAUGAGAGGUAAAAGAAUGUGUAAAGUUCUCACUAGAAUUUAAUAAAUUGUAAUUGCUAGCAUGCUAGGGCUAUGAAACAUCUUCACAAAAAUGCAGCUAGGAGCAAAAAAGGUACCAGAGUAAAAAAGCUUGGAGGUUCAGUGAAAAAAUGAGGUGCUCUGUUUCCCAUUCAGCACUGUUUAUGCACAGCAUAAAAGCCACAGAAAACUGAGGAGGAAAACUCUGAAAAGACUAGCAGUUAUCUUCCACUGUAUUUUUAGCACGGGAUCAUAGCCAGACAGCAUCACUCAGCAGCCUCCCAUAGUGUUCCUUGGUUCAGCCAGCCAAUCUGAAAGCCCAAGGAAUGACUGCACUUGUGCUUGUACCAAGCAAGCUGCAGGAGGCUUUCCAUCUUUGCUUAGCACAGUCAGUGGUACUAAGAGCUGUAUUUGUCAACAGCUUUGUAUUGCUCUCAGUAUCAUGCCAGUUAUCCUUGCUCCUGAGGUUUCUGCUGGCAGCACAGUCCGUGCUAAUGCUGCUAACAGCACUGCAGCUGAAUCACUGUGAGCAAAAUCCUUCACAGUGCACCAAACUCAGGCUGACUCAAAAUAGCAGUGAUGCACUGUCAUCAAAAAGUACCUGCAAGGAGAAGAGCUCUCAUUAAGCUGGUCAAAAGCUUCCCAGUGGGAUCAGCUUUGCUUCUUGUAUCUGGCUGGGGUAGACAGUAAAUUUACCUUUUUAAUACAGUAGUUUUGUCUAGAAGGAUAUAGCUAUUUGCAAUAUUCACAAAUACACACAGUUGAGGGUAGAAAUGUGAAAAAAACAUUAGUGGGAGAUUUUUAGUGAUGCUAUAGUGAGAGUAUUCACUUUUCCUUCACCAGCUGUGGGAUCAUGGUCAGGUCACAGAUCUCAUGGCAUCUCUUCCCUAAAGCAAAGACAGAAGUGUAACCUAAGUAGAGGUACUGAAGGUAGCUUGAGACUAGCUAAAGAGAUGAUAGGAGAUAAUACACAUAGGUCAAUAAAGGCUUCAAAGCCCUUUUAAAAAUUCAGGUAAACAUUCAGUGUGCUGGCCACCCCAAGGUGCUGCAGCAUCUCUCUCCAAACCAGCUGCCCAUAAGUUCACUCUGGAGUGUCUCUGCAGGCUGCAGUCACACACUGAUUGCAGUAUGGACACAUCCUCAGUACUUUUAGUGGUCAAGCUCUCUACAUAGGGGUGACUGGAAAUCAGAAAGUAUUUCUUAACAUGGAUUUUAUUUUUUUCUCUACCCAGGGGACUCUACUGACACAAGAUUAUUCUCAAGUGAUGUGUGGCAUAACAGUGCCUUUUCCUGCAUUAGUAUAUUCAACUUUCUAGUGAGUAAUACACUAAAUUGAACAAACAUUCCUAAUUCUGUAGUAGUAGUUGUGCACACAUGGAAUCCCUCUGAAGAACUAGCCUGCAAAUUCUCCCUCUGUUUUACUCCAGUCUUGUUUGCAGGUUCCCUGGUUGGAAGGAGGUAGUUCACUAUUAUUUCUAGAGCAGCUCCCCAAAACUGGGGAUGUGGCUUCCUCCAUAUAUCUCCCUCUUGAGACAUCCUGACUGAAGGUCUGUGCCUCUUCUGUUGGUAAUUCAGUAUCUUUGCUGUAAGCCCUGUCCCAGCUUUUCUGUCAGUGCAAUUUCUUAAAUGCAAUGUUUACUACCUGAUUAAGACAUUUGCCUGCUCCCUCACACCCGCCAACAGUAACAUUUACAUGCUGUGUGAGCUUUAGGGCCUUGCUUGAAAGCUGAGAUGUUACUGGAUCUCAGCCGGCAGGUAUUUUGGAGGAGAGCUGCAGGCUCUAACCUUGCUUCAGAUCCCUGCAGCCUUCUCCACCAACAGAGAAAGACUCCAUGCUUCCAUCCACAUCCUGCCAGCCAGAGCCAAACUGGCACUCCUGCUCUGCAGCAAUCAGCCAAAGUGGCAUCUCUUAUGAUGCUGCCAGUGAGACCGCACAAGGAUGUUCAGUGCCUGCAGCUUAUCCUCUGCCUUGGGUGUGUGGGGGGGAAGAAUGCCAAGGAUCUGGCUAGAUCCGAACAAAAUCAUGCUCCAGCAGGUGCUUGCAACCCACAGAUAAGGUGCAGAACCACCCCAGGACACUGGCCCUGCUGAGCCAGCUCUGGGGGAACCUCAGGCACCCCUCAGGAACACUUAGGAGGGUGUCCAGCACCACCUCAUAGUAAAAAAUGGAUAAAAUACCUUGUAUGCUGCAGUUUGCAAUUUUAGCCCAUAUGUGUAAAUAGGCAUAAUCUCUUCUUUUUAACUGGCCAUUGUAAUCUAUAGACCUGCCAAUCUAUAGACUUUGCAUUAUUUUCCAGAGUACUGAACUCAAGUGAUUUUUAUAUUGAAACCAUUUAAAGGGUAAUAAUAAACAAAAAUUUCAAAAAAUUAUACUGACAAUAAAUUCCAUCUUGCUGUCAACCAUCAUUCUCUGGGGUCUCAAAUGGGAACAACAUUGCCUUCCUCCCAAAACCUUCUCGCUGCCCUUGACAGGAGGCAAUUUUAUUUAAUGAAGACACCCAUACUUCAGUAUAAAGGUGUCAAGUGAAUUAUUCAUGAGCUCCUUUGCCUCCAAAGCAUUCCAGCUGCUUCAUCUCAUUGUAAAAUUGUAAAAGAAAAUUAAAGUAUUUUUGUGAAAAUGCAGCUGUUGCUUUGAAAAGCAUCUGUUUACCAACUAUUACUGGGAGGCAUUAACAUCCUCAUCUUUUGCUGUUAAGUAGCAGAAGCAAAAGACCAACAGAAUUGGGCAAACAGAUAACACUGUAGAGAAAUGAGCACAACUGAUAAUGUCAGCACUGUGAGGAAACCAAUAUUCAGAUAUUUUUAGGUGCUUCAUGUUCUGCAAUUAAUAUCUUGAGCAGUAUUGGAAAAAAAGGAAGAAGCUGAGCUUUUUUCCCCUCUGUAUUCCCUUUUAUCUCAGCAUAUAACUGUUCUUUACUGUGAGGAAUUUUGUUACAGACCAGCCCCAUCAUUAGUGUAGUACAUUGAUAGGGAUCUUUACUUGUGAGGAAACCAACACAGUCAGCAGGGCCAUAGGUAAACACAACAGUCUGCAUUUCGUCUGAUUUCAGAGCUGAGAUCCACCUGGGCUGAUUCAAUUACAGAGCAGAAUUCCCCCCAGCAGCCAUGGGCCUUAUUCUUGCCUCAUUGGCUGCAUUACAUUUGCACACAUGUGUAAAAGUCUUGCAAAAGAAAAGAUAAUUUUUUUUCUUGGUGAUAUUUUAAUACUGUGGAAGUAGAAGCAAGCUGUAUUAUGAAAUAUAGCUAAAAAUUCAGCAUACCCUUAGAAGUCAGACCAGACUGCAUAUAUCUGUGUCUAUGAAUAUUAGUACAGAGUAAGGCCACGUCUACCACAUUGCAGAUAAUCUGGUAAAUGCCAUCACUAUUUAGCAAGUAUGGCUGAAAAUUAAGGAACUUAUUUUACCUUUCACUUGCAGCCUCUGUGCCCAUAAAAGGCUAAAAAUAACAUUGUGUAGGUUUCUUGCCUGUGAUAUUUCCUAAUUGCUGGCACUUUAUUUCUUAAACUUAAUUUUUUUUUGGUAAGAUGUUUUAUCUAGAACAAUCCUAAUACAAUGACAUCUAUCAUCAGAUAUAAUUUUCAGUUAACAUAUCAAAGUAACAUUUAAAAAUGUGAUCAUAAUCUUAAAGGUUCAAACAUAAAGAUAAGAAAAUAUAUAUUCAUAAAAAGUUUACUCUCUUCAGUGCGGAAGUAGAUUUCAAUUACUCUUAAUUAAUUCUCAUUCUGCUGAGAUUGGUAUCUGGUUUAAUACAGCUGCCUUGCCAACUGCCUGCUUCUUCCUGACCAUGAAGAUUUUUCUCAGUAUUCAUUUAACAGAUAACACAGGGUUUGGCUAAUAGCUGCUGUGGCAGCUAUAGUGCUUUCUCUCCCUGUAGCAAGGAAAGCUGAAUUUCACAGAUGAUCCAGAGAAGCUACAAGCAAGUGCUUUUGGAAUUUGAGCAAUACAUAUCUGGCCAGGACAGAACUUCAGGAAAGGCAAGAGGGAUCAACAAGCUGAUUCUUUGCUAUCAGUAACCACUGAACUGCAGAAGGCAAGAAAAAAACCCCUGGAAGUUCUACUAAGGAAGAAGCAAUUAUUUCAAUAAUGUUAUGAGAUUGCCAUGCACUGGCUUGAGUGACCGCUGCAAAUAAAACCUAAUGCUGACAUCGUCAAGCCUUCAGAAGAGAAGAACUUUUUUGACUAAAAAAGUUGGUUGGUUUGGCUUGAUUUUUUUUUUUUACAUUAGGAAUGCUGAUAAUUAAAUUGCUUUCCAUUUUCAUAUCUCUGAUGAGUUUUCUCUGGAUAAGAUAAUUGGAUUUUUCUGAAUCUAUAGGAUCAAAGAUUACUAGAGCUGACAUUAAAAAAAUCCAGAAAGGAGAAUCUGUCCUUCUUGCAGACUUCAGCGUCUAUAAUAUUUGUCACACGGUUUUGAUUUGUAACUACUGCAAGCAGCAGACUCUCUGAACAUCUGUUCCCUGAAUGUCCCAGAAGGACUGGUUUUCUAUUGUGAAUUUCAAGCAUCUCUGAUAUUACCCUGCAAUACCAUAAUCUUUUCUCUCCUUGCUGAAAUGUUGUUAAUGUGGAUAUCUUAGCAGAAAUAUACUUGUCUGA